CCUACGUGAGGCAGCAGUGGGGAAUAUUGCACAAUGGGGGAAACCCUGAUGCAGCGACGCCGCGUGAGUGAAGAAGUAAUUCGUUAUGUAAAGCUCUAUCAGCAGGGAAGAAAAUGACGGUACCUGAGUAAGAAGCCCCGGCUAACUACGUGCCAGCAGCCGCGGUAAUACGUAGGGGGCAAGCGUUAUCCGGAUUUACUGGGUGUAAAGGGAGCGUAGACGGCAGUGCAAGUCUGGAGUGAAAGGCGGGGGCUCAACCCCCGGACUGCUCUGGAAACUGUACGGCUGGAGUGCAGGAGAGGUAAGUGGAAUUCCUAGUGUAGAGGUGAAAUGCGUAGAUAUUAGGAGGAACACCAGUGGCGAAGGCGGCUUACUGGACUGUAACUGACGUUGAGGCUCGAAAGCGUGGGGAGCAAACAGGAUUAGAUACCCCAGUAGUC
rnacentral:rRNA from 1 species